rnacentral:lncRNA from 1 species
NNNNNNNNNNNNNNNNNNNNNNNNNNNNNNNNNNNNNNNNAAGAUUUUAUUUAUUUAUUUGACAGAGAGAGACACAGCGAAGAGAAGAAACACAAGCAGGGGGAGUGGGAGAGGGAGAAACAGGCUUCUUGCCAAACAGGAGCCUCGAUCCCAGGACCCUGGGACCAUGACCCAAGCUGAAGGCAGAUGCUUAACCAACUGAGCCCCCUAGGCCCCCAACACACAGUGAGUGCAUCCUGAUGCAGACUUAGGCACGGUUCAAACACCCAGGAGUCAUCACGUGGCCAACAGGACCACACUGGACCGCGUUGUGUGUCUUCUAGCUCCCUAUGUCCUGAUUGCCCAGCGCAGAAGGAGUGCUGGGGUGCACAGAGGGCCAGAGAGUUGCUGACUGUCCCCCAGCAGGCUUGUGGCCCAACCACGUGCAGAAGGUAAGUGUUCUCUCUUCCUGCUUGCACCUACACCGGACAAAAUAUUUUCUAAACCAGGAGAACAGUGUUUGUUUGCUGCCUGUGCCCCACGAAGGUAGCUUGCCUUGUAGACAGUCCUGCCUGGCUGGCAGUGAGAUCCCACGGAGGCUGUGGACACAGCCUGAGACAUCCGUGAGGGCCAGUGGCAGCUGGAGGGGACUUGGGCUCCCUCGAAGGGCAUGAUGGGAAGAUUGCCCUUGGUUCCUCUAACCUCAUAUAUCCAGCAAGGACAGCAGACAAGAUCUCCUGGAGGGGGGUGGGGCAGGGAAGGAAGGAAAAAGAAAAUCUCCCAUCUGUUGAGUAUUAACCUCUGAACCAUUUAACCAAACACUGGCUUCUUCUGUCAUUUGAUAAGGUGUAUCCAGCGAAGGGAGAUGAGAAAAUUGGGGGGUUAUUCUUUUAAAUGACAUCAGCAGGGAGUUUGUUUCUGCCACAGAGCUCGGAGGGUCCCAUCUGAGCCAUCACAUCACCGCCAGCACACUCAAGGACAGAUCUGAGUGCUUUCCUCUGCCUGGGUGUUCAGGCAUUUGCAGGGAUAUUAAAAAAAAA